GAUGAACGCUGGCGGCGCGCCUAACACAUGCAAGUCGAACGGUUAAAGCACCUCUUAGGUGUGUAUAAAGUGGCGAACGGCUGAGUAACACGUGGGCAACCUGCCCUCCUCUUGGGGAUAGCCUCGGGAAACCGAGGAUAAUACCCGAUACUUCAAUGUGGCCGCAUGACGACAUUGAGAAAGCUUUUGCGGAGAAGGAUGGGCCCGCGGCCUGUUAGCUUGUUGGUGGGGUAGAGGCCUACCAAGGCAAUGAUGGGUAGCUGGGUUGAGAGACCGACCAGCCAGAUUGGGACUGAGACACGGCCCAGACUCCUACGGGAGGCAGCAGUGGGGAAUCUUGCACAAUGGGCGAAAGCCUGAUGCAGCGACGCCGCGUGCGGGAAGAAGGCCUUCGGGUUGUAAACCGCUUUCAGCAGGGACGAGGCGUAAGUGACGGUACCUGCAGAAGAAGCCCCGGCUAACUACGUGCCAGCAGCCGCGGUAAUACGUAGGGGGCAAGCGUUAUCCGGAUUCAUUGGGCGUAAAGCGCUCGUAGGCGGUCUGUUAGGUCGGGAGUUAAAUCCGGAGGCUCAACCUCCGCCCGCUCCCGAUACCGGCAGACUUGAGUUUGGUAGGGGAAGGUGGAAUUCCUAGUGUAGCGGUGGAAUGCGCAGAUAUUAGGAAGAACACCAGUGGCGAAGGCGGCCUUCUGGGCCAUAACUGACGCUGAGGAGCGAAAGCUAGGGGAGCAAACAGG
rnacentral:rRNA from 1 species